UAAAGUCUAAUCUGCCCACUGAUAUAAUAUUAAAGGGSUGCAGUAUUUUGAGUGUACAAAGGUAGCAUAAUCAUUAGUCUUUUAAUUGAAGACUUCUAUGAAUGAUUGGAUGAAAUAUAAACUGUCUCUAAUAUUAUUAGUUAGAAUUUAAUUUUUUUAUUAAAAAGUAAAAAUAAAUUUAAAAGACGAGAAGACCCUAUAGAGUUUUAUAAUUAAUUUAAUUGAAAUUAUUUAUAAAGAUAAUUUUAAAUUAAUAAAUUAAAAUUAAGUUAAUUAUUUUGUUGGGGUGAUAAAAAAAUAAAAAUAACUUUUUUUAAUAAAUAUAUAUAUAUAUAUAUAUAUAUAUAUAUAUAUAUAUUGUAAACAAAAAUAAAUGAUUUUUUGAUCCAGAAUUUUUGAUUAUAAGAAAAAAUUACCUUAGGGAUAACAGCGUAAUUUUUUUUUUUAGUUCAAAUAAGAAAAAGAGUUUGCGACCUCGAUGUUGGAUUAAGGAAAAAUUUAAAUGCAAAAGUUUAAAAUUUUG
rnacentral:rRNA from 1 species